GACGAACGCUGGCGGCGUGCCUAAUACAUGCAAGUCGAACGCAGUGGGGACGGGUGAGUAACACGUGGGUAAACUUCCAACAGAGGGGAUAACACUUGGAAACAGGUGCUAAACCGAUAAUGCGGGAUGGACCAGCGGGGCAUUAGCGAGUUGGUGAGGUAACGGCUCACCAAUGCCACGAUGCAUAGCCGACCUGAGAGGGUGAUCGGCCACACUGGAACUGAGACACGGCCCAGACUCCUACGGGAGGCAGCAGUAGGGAAUCUUCGGCAAUGGGCGAAAGUCUGACCGAGCAACGCCGCGUGAGUGAUGAAGGUUUUCGGAUCGUAAAACUCUGUUGUUAGAGAAGCGGUAUCUAACCAGAAAGCCACGGCUAACUACGUGCCAGCAGCCGCGGUAAUUC
rnacentral:rRNA from 1 species